UAGGGAAGGUCCCUCCACCCUCUCCCAAAAUUCCUGGGACUGCAGUACUUUGUGAGCGAUGGAGCAAACAAGUAGGCCCCAGGCUUCGGGUCUGAAGAAAAUCGGCCUGGACCUAAAAGAAAUCAGGGGCCCACAAAACACCACACAGGACCAUUAUUGGAAAGCCAAAAGAUUUUUACUUCUCCUCAGUAUGGCGUCCCUGGGUAAUAAUCAGGUAAGCGCUCUUCUCCACAGCUCUCUAAAACUUUUUUUUUCCUCGGGACCCAUAACUGUGUCAUUUAAGUGCUUAUUCUAAGCCAAGCACGUCGUAGGUACCGGAGAAGCAGCGUGACCCAGCGGAAAGACCAAGGGCCUGGAAGCCAGAGGACCUGAGUUCUAAAUUCAGCUUCACCACUUGUCGGCUGCGGGACCUUGGGCAGGUCAGUCUCCUUCCUUGGCAGGGUCGGGGAUUGAGAGGUAGAAAGGUAAACUCCUCGCUGAGCCCCGGCAUUGAUUUCAUCGUUUAAUUUUGGGGGGCCGUCAAGGGAAGAAGGGGACUGAACCCCCGGGGAGAGCCGGGGUCUGGGAUAAGAAAGGAAGCUUGUGACCUCUGGUGCCGCUGCUCUGGAGCCAACGUUCAGAGAAGCAAAUGUUUGUAAGCAUAAGGGGCCAAAUCUCCUUCCUAUUUAGGAGGUUCAGAAAACAAACAGUGCAGGGAGCGGAUGCUGGGAGGUGAUCUUAUAGAACGCCUUUCCAUGCCACUGGACGUUUCCUAAAUCAUUAACGAGAACCUUAAUCGUAUUUAGGUCAAAAUGCAGACAGAAGCUUAUAUAGUCAAUCCC
rnacentral:lncRNA from 1 species